UCUCAUACACAUAUUUAUGACCAAUAAAUAUAUUAUACUUUUAUAUACCUAUGAUAGUUUUUCUGUUAUAACAUAGUGUAAAUACCAUUCAUAUUGUUAUCUACUCAAUGGCUAUUGCGCAUAUUCACAGCCCAUAGCCUUGUUAUUUAUUUGCUAUCUAUAUUACAUAUUCAAUCAGCACUUUGUUAAUUUGCACAACGCUAUUAUUUGCACUUCUGGUAGAGGUGAAACUGCAUUUGGUUGCUGAGUACCUCGUAUCUCCAAUGACAACAAAGUACACUCGGAAUGAGGGGCCAGUUCAUCCCAGAGCACCAUGUACACACACACACAGUCACCAAUCCACCUAUCAGCAGGUUUUUUGGCAGCCAUGAGGAAAUCAGAGAACCCAGAAGAAACCAAAGCAGAUGCUGAGAGAAUAUAGAAAACUCCACAUAGACACUGAGCUCAGGAUUGAAGCAGUGACCCUGGAGCUGUGAGGCAGCAACGUUACCUUACAAAUUCUUACAAACAAGAAGAAAAAUUAUUUUAGAGAAAUACAAGUGCAAGAGAGACACUAACUCUGCACUAACCUUUGUAAUAUUUCAUAGUCAUGUCAGGUAAAUUUCAAUGAAUUUACAGCUGUGGUUUUACAUAAGAUGAGUGGAUAUUACUCAGAUGAAUACAAAUGCCAUCUACUGAUUUUGAAUUUGUGCCAUUGGGUGCAAGAAUAUAUUUUUAUGGAGUGUGGAAUUGCUUUGGCAAAUCUGUUGAAAAACUUUACAGCUUAAUAAAAGAGCGAAGUCACCUUGCUAUUCAACCAUUAAAAACCCAAAAGAGCAUUAUUACUCUGAAUUUAGUUGAGUCCUGUGAUGGGCAUUUGACAUUUUCAGAGCAACUGGUGGGUGUGUUGGUGGUUAAAUAUAAACAGCAAGUUUGUGGCAUUGAUUAUUUGAGACAAUCUUUGGAGUGGAGAAAUAAGAGCCUGCCAAAAAGAUAAAUGAUCUCAGGGUUGGUUUCAUCACGGCAAAGGCCAACGCUCCCUUCUACCACCAUUUGUGCUUCUAGUAGUAUUAAAGUUUAAAAGUAAGUUGUACAAAUGACCUGCUGGAGCUUCUAUCUCCCAAAUGGCAAGUCGAAAAGGAACAACUCUGAUAUAUCACAGCUUGGAGUUAGAGAGAAACUUGAUUCGCCAGGCUGUUACACUAGAUUUAUUAGUUGCUGUAUUUCUCUAGCGUCAACUGAUGUUCCAUAAGCCUGAGCCUCCGGGGUUUCGGGUGGCCUCUCCCCCCCCCGGCAGCUGAUGGAAAAGUGUUUGGAUGCCGGUCUAUUCAUGUGAGGGUGUUAAACACAACAGAUUAAGACGCUCUGCAAACCUCCAAAGCUAGCAUUAGGCCACUUAUCAUAUUAGUUUGGCUAUACUAAUCCAUCUGAUAUGGUGUGUCUGCUUCCACUCCCAUGCUCCACCUUCGACAUGGUAACAACUCUGUAACACGAGCGGCAUCAAAGCACGUAAACGUGGAGAACUUCAGCAUCCUGGAUUCCUGCGCUAAACCCGGUUUUGGCUUCCACUUUGUGCUGGGACGGGGGAACCUAAAUCUGCACAUGCCUUGGCAUUUCACACAGCAGCAAGCUUAAACACUUGUUCAGCACUGCUUGUUGUAGUGUGUGUGAGGUAAACAGGUGUAAGUCUGAAGGAGUUUCGAGUCAGUUCAUGUAGUGAAAGGUCAAAUGACUGAUUUCUGUUAAAGGUGCCUGGUCUUAAGCUUCAUGAUGCCAUGUGGAAGUGAAAUAUGACUGAGGAUGGCUUAAUGAUUGGUUAACAGUGAUAUGAAUACACUUUGGGAUGUUACUAAAGAUACUGAAGUAUCAAUAUCCACAUAUGUUUAGUCAGAUAUUCUGUAUCGGCAUAGUGGUCAUAGUUGGAGGAUGACACUGCUCACUGAGCUUUGCCUACUAUAUCACAUUGCAAACAACGUGUCACACUUAACCUUUAUUGAUUUAUAUCAGUAAAUGUUGCUUAAACUACCAUCAAAUCCUUGCAAAGCACUUCCAUAUAAAACCUCUAACCUACUCUCCUGUUAAACAGCGCAAGGCUGAUUACACCUUUACACCUUACUUAACCUAAGUUGUUUUUUUUUAACUACCUUUUAUAUUGCAGCCACCAUCUAGAUCAUUUACUUCAUUUUCAUAGCAGCGGUACAAAUAAUUACAGGCACCUAGAAUCAGCUGAAUGUCAUACCUGAAGCAAGCACAUGCUUCCUGAUAUUACGCAACUGAUCCGUCAGUGCCAUUUGAAUGACUGAUCAAAUAUAGACCAAUACAAGAAAGAAGCUGAAGGGGGAAAUGUGAUGGAGAAGGAAAAAUCAGUCGGGUUUGUUCCCUGGCCAUAUGAGAAAAAGUUAAUGGUGAAGAGUGAACACAAGGUGGACCAUCUAUACGAUCCAUGCUGCAUCUUGCCAGGAAGCAUUGAUGUUAGGACACUCUCUCUCUCUCUCUCUCUCUCUCUCUCUCUCUCUCUCUCUCUCUCUCUCUGUACCUGUGUGUGUGUGUCACUAGAUCACUACACUCUGUUCCCUUGUGUAUGUCACAUGUGGGAUUUCUUUGAGAUUGAACAAAGUGGUUAACAUUGUACACUGCCAUUCAUAAAGUAUUCUUAGAGUGAUUUUUGGCCAAGUGCUGUCUUCUAGCAGCAAACUCUAAAAAUCUGGCAGAGAAUUACUGUAACAUAUAACAUUGUACAGACAACUUAAAGUAUAAAUACAGCACAAGUGAAAAAACAGUAGUGUUUACCAUCAACAAAAGGAAAAGUAGAAAUUGUAGACCUGUGGAAAAACUGCAUACAUUUCAAAUGUGAUUAAUAUGUGAUCGCCAUUAAAACAUUUGAUUGUUUUCAAUACAUUUCAAUGUGUUAUGCUCUGAAAUAGCACAUGCGAGCUCAAGUAAACACAUACGACAUAAUGUGAAUAGUGUAUCAUGUGUAGAGUCAUUUAUUUAUCA